rnacentral:rRNA from 1 species
AUACGGAGGGUGCAAGCGUUACUCGGAAUCACUGGGCGUAAAGCGCGCGCAGGCGGCUAUUUAAGUUGGAUGUGAAAGCCUACGGCUCAACCGUAGAACUGCAUCCAAAACUAUUUAGCUAGAGUGUGGGAGAGGAAGAUGGAAUUAGUUGUGUAGGGGUAAAAUCCGUAGAGAUAACUAGGAAUACCAAAAGCGAAGGCAAUCUUCUGGAACACUACUGACGCUGAGGCGCGAAAACGUGGGGAGCAAACGGGAUUAGAAACCCUAGUAGUCC